rnacentral:rRNA from 1 species
UACGUAGGGUGCAAGCGUUAAUCGGAAUUACUGGGCGUAAAGCGUGCGCAGGCGGUUAUGUAAGACAGAUGUGAAAUCCCCGGGCUUAACCUGGGAACUGCAUUUGUGACUGCAUCGCUGGAGUGCGGCAGAGGGGGAUGGAAUUCCGCGUGUAGCAGUGAAAUGCGUAGAUAUGCGGAGGAACACCGAUGGCGAAGGCAAUCCCCUGGGCCUGCACUGACGCUCAUGCACGAAAGCGUGGGGAGCAAACAGG